CUCAAAACCCUUUACCAUUUGAAGAAAUGAAACAGGAGACACUUUCAGAAAAGGCCAUUUGAUAGCUGACUACAAACCUAAUCAAUGUCUUGUGCAGUGUCUUUCCACCUUACAAGUCUUGACAUGUCUGGUAAGGGCAGGAGGUAACAUAAGAUGGUUAGUGCUGUGUUUUAAAUGCUUGCAGAUCUUUCAACCACAGUCCACCUACAUGCAUGUCCUGAAGGCAUGUCCCGAAGAGGCCUGCUAUACCGGACCCUUUGCCUCUUAUAAUGAGAGGUUGGAGCUGGAGCCUGAAUACCGCUGGGUUUUAUUCCUAAUUUUGAUGUGUUUGUUGCAUUAUGUUGUAUUCUGUAGGGUCUGCCAGACUUUCUUCCUUCUUUGUGUUCUGAAUGCUUCUGUAAGCAGCGUAUUACUCUGUACAUUCUGUACUGUAUUUAUUUAAGCAAUAAGGCCAGAGGGGGUGUGGUAUAUGGCCUAUUUACCACGGCUAACGGCGGUUCUUAGGCACGACACAACGCAGCCCUCACGCAGCCCUCACAAACACCUGAGUUGCCUUAUUGCUAUCAUAAACUGGUUACCAACGUAAUUAGAGCAGAAAAAAAUCAUGUUUUGUCAUACCACUGGUAUAUGGUCUGAUAUACCAUGGCUGUCAGCCAAUCAGCAUUCAAGACUCAAACAACAGAGUUUAUAAAAAACAAUUCAUUUAUGGUAUAUGAGCAGGAGGAGACUACGGGUUGAUAAAAUAUCUCCCUCCCUCAUACUGGUAUCUUUCAUAUGUCCGAUUUUACUACGCACCUCCAUUAAUUCAGUUGAAGCUAAACAAAUGAAUUAGAGAGCUGUCAUGGGCUUACUCACAAAUUGCUCGCAGGUACUUGAUAUUGAAGUUUCCGGCAAGCCUCUUCAGAGAGACACUCCAUCCCAGGGGCAUGCUCAUUUAAAGGUAAGUAUAGGAUGUCAUAAAUUGUGAGCAAAUAAGACAAUGGCGGGAGGUGGGUCGGAAGAGGGGAGGUAGAGGUGUUGGACAGGAGGCAAGGGAGAGGUGGAGAGGAGGAGGCGAGGGAGAGGAGAAGGAGGAGGAGAGGAAGAAGGUAGGGAGAGGAGGAAGGGAUGGAGAGGAGGAAGGGAGGGAGAGGUGGAAGGGAGGGGAAGAGGGGGUGGAGAGGAGGAAGAGGAGAGGAAGAAGGGAGGCUGAGGUGGAGAGGAGGAGGAGAUGGAGAUGGAGAGGAGGAGCAGAGGAAAAUAAAAAUACAAUGAUAAUGAUCAUGAUAAAAGAAGCAAUUAUUUAAACCUAGUUCAUCUAGUGUUGACAUUCCAGUUAAUUACGAAGUGCCUGGAGGGCCUGGUUCCUGAGCAGGAGCAUGACAAAAGCAACUAGGAGAAGCCGCCGGGAUCGACCACAGUACGGCAACCAGCGAGUGAGGGUGCUUACUCAGGGACAACCAACCCGACUGCAGGAAAAACCAGAGGGGUCACAUGAUAAGAGGACAUACAACGCGGCCCACCACCGAGAGAUUGAUGGCUAAAGUGGAGUGGCUGAGAAAUCUAUGCUAAGCCAAAUGAGUCACGUACUACCGGUACCUACACCCGGGUGGGUGAGGGGCUUUGCUAGAGAUAAAAUUGACAAUAAAUCAUCUUAUCGACUAACCUAUUAGUGGUAAUUAAUACAGCG
rnacentral:lncRNA from 1 species